AGCAGCCGCGGUAAUUCCAGCUCCAAUAGCGUAUAUUAAAGUUGUUGCAGUUAAAAAGCUCGUAGUUGAAUUUCGGGGUUAGUACGCUGGUCGUGCCUUCGGUAUGUACUGGUGUUACUGAUUCCUACCUUCUGAAGAACCGUCAUGUCAUUAAUUUGGUGUGGCGGGGAAUCAGGACUGUUACUUUGAAAAAUUAGAGUGUUUAAAGCAGGCUCGCGCUUGAAUACAUUAGCAUGGAAUAAUGAAAUAGGACGUUUGAUCCUAUUUGUUGGUUUCUAGGAUUGACGUAAUGAUUAAUAGGGAUAGUUGGGGGCAUUAGUAUUCAAUUGUCAGAGGUGAAAUUCUUGGAUUUAUUGAAGACUAACUACUGCGAAAGCAUUUGCCAAGGAUGUUUUCAUUAAUACAAGAACGAAAGUUAGGGGAUCGAAGACGAUCAGAUACCGUCGUAGU
rnacentral:rRNA from 1 species